GCCAUCACUUAAAGUCUCUUCCGCAUUUCUCAAAGCUGUAAUAGCGGUCUCUGCGCGAAUGACAUAAUCUGUGACGCUCUCAUUGACAGCUUUCUUGAGAGACGUAAGCUCUGUGUAUAAGCUGAUCACUCGUGGUUUCCCUUUACCAGCAUAGUGUUCUCUCAGAAUCUUCAGCGCCUUUCUUCCAUCAUCCGCUGCAUCUCUCAUCACAAGGGAAAGGCUUUUAUCAUCCAACAGCUGAACCAGUUCUGCAUACGUGUAACAGGGUUAAAAAGAGUACUUAAUUUAAGAGUUUUGAUGUGUGAAUUUCAUAAAAUAAGCAUUUGGUUAAAUUCAUUGGUGUUCAAAGGCUCCCCUCCUGUGGCUAUUAAUGGUACUGCAGACAGUGUAUUUUGUCGCUCUUCUCUUGCCGUACUCCAGCAGAUUUGAGUGUCGCUGCUGUGGUCUUGAAUGUCUGCAGUAGUUUAUCUUCAGCCAAAGUGAUUUGUGCCAUUUUAUUUCCAAAAGAUAAAGGCAAGCACAAGGAAACCCACGUGUGAGUGUGUUUGUUCACGUCUGUU